AAUGGUUGGUACAAAGAGAAGCGAAGCGGUGACGUUGGAGCAAACCUCAUAAAGCCAAUCUCAGUUCGGAUUGUAGGGCUGCAACUCGCCCUACAUGAAGUUGGGAAUCGCUAGUAAUCGCGAAUCAGAAUGUCGCGGGUGAAUACGUUCCCGGGGUCUUGUACACACCGCCACCGUCACACCCACGAGAGUCUUACAACACCCGAAGUAAGUGGCCUGACCGUACAGAUGUGUGCCCCAUCAUAAUAGG
rnacentral:rRNA from 1 species